rnacentral:tRNA from 1 species
GCCUGGCUAGCUUAGUUGGUAGAGCCUGAGACUCUUAAUCUCAGGGUCAUGGGUUCCAGCUCCACAUUGGGUG